AUAUUGGACAAUGGGCGAAAGCCUGAUCCAGCCAUGCCGCGUGAGUGACGAAGGUCUUCGUAUUGUAAAGCUCUCUUUGCGGGGAAGAUAAUGACGGUACCCGCAGAAUAAGCCCCGGCUAACUUCGUGCCAUCAGCCGCGGUAAUACGAAGGGGGCUAGCGUUGUUCGGAAUCACUGGGCGUAAAGCGCACGUAGGCGGAUUUGCCAGUCAGGGGUGAAAUCCCGGGGCUCAACCUCGGAACUGCCUUUGAUACAGCAAGUCUAGAGUCCGGAAGAGGUGAGUGGAAUUCCUAGUGUAGAGGUGAAAUUCGUAGAUAUUAGGAGGAACACCAGUGGCGAAGGCGGCUCACUGGUCCGGCACUGACGCUGAGGUGCGAAAGCGUGGGGAGCAAACAGG
rnacentral:rRNA from 1 species